rnacentral:rRNA from 1 species
AACGAACGCUGGCGGCAGGCUUAACACAUGCAAGUCGAACGCCCCGCAAGGGGAGUGGCAGACGGGUGUGUAACGCGUGGGAACAUACCCUUUUCUACGGAAUAGCUCUGGGAAACUGGAAUUAAUACCGUAUACGCCCUACGGGGGAAAGAUUUAUCGGGGAAGGAUUGGCCCGCGUUGGAUUAGCUAGUUGGUGGGGUAAAGGCCUACCAAGGCGACGAUCCAUAGCUGGUCUGAGAGGAUGAUCAGCCACAUUGGGACUGAGACACGGCCCAAACUCCUACGGGAGGCAGCAGUGGGGAAUAUUAGACAAUGAGCGCAAGCCUGAUCCAGCCAUGCCGCGUGAGUGAUGAAGGCCUUAGGGUUGUAAAGCUCUUUCACCGAUGAAGAUAAUGACGGUAGUCGGAGAAGAAGCCCCGGCUAACUUCGUG